UUAAAGGGAGCGUAGGCCGGAGAUUAAGCGUGUUGUGAAAUGUAGACGCUCAACGUCUGCACUGCAGCGCGAACUGGUUUCCUUGAGUACGCACAAAGUGGGCGGAAUUCGUGAUGUAGCGGUGAAAUGCUUAGAUAUCACGAAGAACUCCGAUUGCGAAGGCAGCUCACUGGAGCGCAACUGACGCUGAAGCUCGAAAGUGCGGGUAUCGAACAGGAUUAGAUACCCUGGUAGUCCGCACGGUAAACGAUGGAUGCCCGCUGUUGGUCUGAACAGGUCAGCGGCCAAGCGAAAGCAUUAAGCAUCCCACCUGGGGAGUACGCCGGCAACGGUGAAACUCAAAGGAAUUGACGGGGGCCCGCACAAGCGGAGGAACAUGUGGUUUAAUUCGAUGAUACGCGAGGAACCUUACCCGGGCUUGAAUUGCAGAGGAAGGAUUUGGAGACAAUGACGCCCUUCGGGGCCUCUGUGAAGGUGCUGCAUGGUUGUCGUCAGCUCGUGCCGUGAGGUGUCGGCUUAAGUGCCAUAACGAGCGCAACCCCUCUCCGUAGUUGCCAUCAGGUUAAGCUGGGCACUCUGCGGACACUGCCACCGCAAGGUGUGAGGAAGGUGGGGAUGACGUCAAAUCAGCACGGCCCUUACGUCCGGGGCUACACACGUGUUACAAUGGGUGGUACAGAGAGCGGGCCGUCCGCAAGGUCGGUCAAAUCCUAAAAGCCAUCCCCAGUUCGGAUUGGGGUCUGCAACCCGACCCCAUGAAGCUGGAUUCGCUAG
rnacentral:rRNA from 1 species